CAGAGCUUCUAAGCUUAAGGGGGUAAAACCUCUGAGCGAGAACUCCACCCUUUGUUUACAUACCUUUGUUGCUUUAGCAGGCCCGCUCUCGAGCCGCCGGCAAUAGCUGGUCCGCGCCUGCUAGAGGACCUAAAACUCAUGUUAAUAAUAUUGUCUGAGUACUAUAAUAAUAGUUA
rnacentral:misc_RNA from 1 species